rnacentral:rRNA from 1 species
GACGAACGCUGGCGGCGUGCUUAACACAUGCAAGUCGAACGGAAAGGCCCUGCUCUUGUGGGGUGCUCGAGUGGCGAACGGGUGAGUAACACGUGAGUAACCUGCCCUUGACUUUGGGAUAACUUCAGGAAACUGGGGCUAAUAUCGGAUAGGAGCUCCUGCUGCAUGGUGGGGGUUGGAAAGUUUCGGCGGUUGGGGAUGGACUCGCGGCUUAUGAGCUUGUUGGUGGGGUAGGGGCUUACCAAGGCUUUGACGGGUAGCCGGCCUGAGCGGGUGACCGGCCACAUUGGGACUGAGGUACGGCGCAGACGCCUACGGGAGGCAGCAGUGGGGAAUAUUGCGCAGUGGGCGGGAGCCUGAUGCGACGGCGCCGCGUGCGGGAUGACGGCCUUCGGGUUGUGAACCGCUUUCGCCUGUGACGAAGCUGGAGUGACGGUAAUGGGUAAAGAAGCACCGGCUAACUACGUG